CCUACGUGGAGCAGCAGUGAGGAAUAUUGGUCAAUGGGCGCGAGCCUGAACCAGCCAAGUAGCGUGAAGGAUGACUGCCCUACGGGUUGUAAACUUCUUUUAUAAAGGAAUAAAGUGAGGCACGUGUGCCUUUUUGUAUGUACUUUAUGAAUAAGGAUCGGCUAACUCCGUGCCAGCAGCCGCGGUAAUACGGAGGAUCCGAGCGUUAUCCGGAUUUAUUGGGGUUAAAGGGAGCGUAGAUGGGUUGUUAAGUCAGUUGUGAAAGUUUGCGGCUCAACCGUAAAAUUGCAAUUGAUACUGGCAGUCUUGAGUACAGUUGAGGUAGGCGGAAUUCGGGGUGUAGCGGUGAAAUGCUUAGAUAUCACGAAGAACUCCGAUUGCGAAGGCAGCUUACUAAACUGCCACUGACAUUGAUGCUCGAAAGUGUGGGUAUCAAACAGGAUUAGAUACCCCUGUAGUC
rnacentral:rRNA from 1 species